rnacentral:lncRNA from 1 species
UGGGCUUGUAAAGAGCUAGCAAAAGGGAGUGGUGUUACGCACAUGAGAAAUUGAUCUUGAAGGCAAAACGACUCGAUUUGCCCCUCCCCCAUUUCCUUCUUGUAACAGCUCUACCAUCUUAUCUAUAUUUGGAGCUGUUUUGUGAUGUUUUUAAACACAGAAAAAUACCUUCGUCUUCAACAGAGUUCUGGGCAAUUGUUUUGUGCAAAUUCCAAACUUCCAGCCACGAGUGCACGUGUUUGGAGGUGCCGUGGAACCUUGGGGAGCGACCGAUCUUAACGAUUUGUACCCAGUCGGGCCGAAAUCACUUUCAAGACAGUGACUUGCCACGACACAGUAUUUUUCGAUAACUUGUUCUCUUUCCGUCUUGUUCCUUGUCAAUAUUAUUUAUUAUUUUUCUUACAAUAUUUUCAUUGAUACACAUCAUUGUGUAUGAAUAUAUAUAUCACACAAGAAUUUCAUAAUGAUAUAAAUGAAAUAAACAGAUAUACACUGAUACAUAAGAUGAUAUACACAGAGAUAUGAUUCAUUGGAUUCAUCACUUGAAGAUUCUUUUAAAGAAUUUUUUAUGGUGGAAAUAGGAGAAGGAAUCAAUGGGUCAAGAAAUAAGUCAGCAAAACUGCAACAUUCAAUUGAAAUGCAUAUUUAUCAUAUAAGAAUCAUGAUUCUUGUUUUCCCUGAUAAAUUUUUGCUGCCUGCUUUCGAUAGAAUUCAUGAGAUAGUGUUGGAGGAUGAUGAUUGAUGGAAGGAAAAAUGGCGUCAGUUUUGGUUAUGUCGCACCACCGAGCGUCUGCCCUCUUGAUUUGUUACAGGAUACCAAUUUUAUUUUAAAAGUUAAUAUGGGUUACCGUGUGACAAUAAAAAGAGAUUGGGUUAUUUUGUACAAUUUCCUAGGCUAAGUUACC